UUGUUAUCGUAAUAUAGUCUUCAUAUGAGCACGACCUAUGUUUGGCAGUGUUUUCCCUUCGUAACAUGAAUGGACAUGAAGAAGUCACUCAACAAUUUCUGGCUCAACACGUGUGUAUGUAAGUGAUGAUAUAAAACCCCAGAAAUGCACACUCUGUCAUGACUUAAUAAAUUAGUUUCAGGCCUUGCACUUUUACUAUGUGAACUAUGUUUCUGCAGAUAUUUCGCCUAGAAAUUAAGAAAAGUACAUGUAAAAUUUUCCACCAUAAUAAGGUUGCCGAGAAAGGUGAUUCAAAGACUUGACAGUUUAAGGCGACAGACAGCAUCACAUGGCAUUGUCCAUCAAAUAAAUGCCACGCAUAACAAAAUUCUCAUUCUAGGCUCUCAGUGUCUGUAUACCUGCAAGGUCUUUUGGAAAGGAAGGCUUAUGAUGGGGGACCACAGUGGCCACAACAGCAGAAGAAUUUCACAAGGAAUGAUCCAAAAGCAUAUGCCAAAAAACAAUUUCUCAGCGAAUAUCCAUUUUUAAUGUGCGAAUAAUGUAGACUAUAUUGCCUCUUUGUGCUGCAUAUUGCAGCACAGCAAGCAGAAGGGGUACCAGGUAUGCUUCAAUUUCAGAGGUAGAGAAGAAUAACAGUGUGAUUCUCCCUUGGCAGGUGCUACAUCUAUUCUUCAUCAGAAUGGCCUUUCUGCCAAAGGAGAAUUGCCCUGCCAUUCUACAGUCCUACCAUCUUGCCAAUUACAUUUCACAGUUUAUCAUGAGUGCAAGUGUAUAUAUAUCUAUAUAUAUGCUAAAGCCUAUUUAUAUAGGAUAUUUUUUGUCAACAGAAUUUAGUGCAGAAACAAAGCAUAAGCGAUGGUGCACUUAUUGUAUUGUAUUUGUUACCCUCACUGAUUUGAUCAGGAAAAUCUACUGAUGUAUAUAUGCAUUUUAGCUAUUUUGGUGGCUGAAAAUCAGUAUGACAUCUUGUGUAAUUAAAUGAUAUUCAUAUGAGAAUUCUCCAACUGCAGGAUACACCAUUUUAUUCCUUUGAGUUUAACAUAUUUUCUUAUCCAUUGUGAAUGAAUGUCUUCACGUUUCCUUGUCUCUGUAUG